rnacentral:rRNA from 1 species
AGAUUGAACGCUGGCGGCAGGCCUAACACAUGCAAGUCGAGCGGUAGAGAGGUGCUUGCACCUCUUGAGAGCGGCGGACGGGUGAGUAAUGCCUAGGAAUCUGCCUAGUGGUGGGGGAUAACGUUCGGAAACGGACGCUAAUACCGCAUACGUCCUACGGGAGAAAGCGGGGGACCUUCGGGCCUCGCGCCAUUAGAUGAGCCUAGGUCGGAUUAGCUAGUUGGUGAGGUAAUGGCUCACCAAGGCGACGAUCCGUAACUGGUCUGAGAGGAUGAUCAGUCACACUGGAACUGAGACACGGUCCAGACUCCUACGGGAGGCAGCAGUGGGGAAUAGUUGGACAAUGGGCGAAAGCCUGAUCCAGCCAUGCCGCGUGUGUGGAAGAAGGUCUUCGGAUUGUAAAAGCUAACGUUUUAAGGUUGGGAGGUAAGGGUUUGUAAACUUUAAGUACGUUGCUAACUUUGACGUUACCGACAGAAUAGCACGCUAACUCGUGCCAGCAGCCGACGUAA